CCGGGCACUCUGGAUGGACUGCCGGCGGCAAGCCGGAGGAAGGGUGGGGAUGACGUCAAGUCAUCAUGGCCCUUAUGUCCGAGGGCGACACACGUGCUACAAUGGCCGGCACAGGCGGGAAGCGGAGGGGGCGACCUUGAGCGGAUCCCUCAAAGCCGGUCUCAGUUCGGAUUGCAGUCUGCAACUCGACUGCAUGAAGUUGGAAUCGCUAGUAAUCGUGGAUCAGCCAAGCCGCGGUGAAUACGUUCCCGGGCCUU
rnacentral:rRNA from 1 species